UACAGAGGUUGCAAGCGUUAAUCGGAAUUACUGGGCGUAAAGCGCGCGUAGGUGGCUAACUAAGUCGGAUGUGAAAUCCCUGAGCUCAACUUAGGAAUUGCAUUCGAUACUGGUUAACUUGAGUUUGGUAGAGGAGAGUGGAAUUCCCGGUGUAGCGGUGAAAUGCGUAGAUAUCGGGAGGAACAUCAGUGGCGAAGGCGGCUCUCUGGACUAAAACUGACACUGAGGCGCGACAGCGUGGGGAUCAAACAGG
rnacentral:rRNA from 1 species